CUGUUAAAGUCCUAUAAGGACGGGAAUUUGUCGGAUUUCAGGUAGUGACAGGUG
rnacentral:tRNA from 2 species